rnacentral:rRNA from 1 species
UACGUAGGGUGCGAGCGUUAAUCGGAAUUACUGGGCGUAAAGCGUGCGCAGGCGGCGGCUCAAGUCAGGUGUGAAAUCCCCCGGGGCUUUAAACCUGGGGAAUUGCGCUUGAAACUAGGCUGCUUGAGUGUGGCAGAGGGGGGUGGAAGUUCCACGUGAGCAGUGAAAUGCGUAGAGAUGUGGAGGAACACCGAUGGCGAAGGCAGCCCCCCUGGGUCAACACUGACGCUCAUGCACGAAAGCGUGGGGAGCAACAGG